rnacentral:lncRNA from 1 species
CCCACAUGAGCUUUUGCCCUUUUGGUUUUUUUGGACUUCAGGGGGGACCACACUGAAGGAAUUGGAAGAGAUCAUCUUCUCAGAUAACACCAUGACCAAUCUCUUGUCACCAAUUCACAGAUAAGGUGAUCUAAGACAUCCUACCCUCUUGGAAUCCCAGCCUCAGAUCGUUACAUUGAAGAAAAGAGAAAAAAAAAAUCCUAUUUUAUCUCGAUUAGAUAUUGCAUGGGAAGGUCAAAUGUUCUAUGUAAAUAUAAUAAAAUGAAAGAUGUGAUCUUUCCUUCAAUUACAUUUAUUUGCCAUGUACUCAAACAACAUAGUUGUACCUCCUUCCUCCUAACCCCACCACUUUUCAUAGAAUUCACAAUAAAAUUAAGUUCAAAUGAAGUUAUCUUUUGUAACAGUCCUUUACACAGGAAUCUAGGCUUGUUUCUGAAGUAUGUAUGGAAUGUUCUUUUUAUACCGACAACACAGUUUUUUAGGAACAAGUUUUUAUGAAGUAUAAAAAAGCAGACCUACUACGUUACAUUUAAGGGAGAAAAGGAAUUCACAGAAUUUACUGGCACAUGUUGCACACUUAUUAAAAAAAGUAAUAGAGGCAGUAUUGGGUUAGGGAUGAAAGAUUUGGACUCAGGAGACCUAUAUUUUAGGGUAACACCCUAUUAUAUAGUUGCUGUAUAACCAUAGGCAAGUCUUUUUUUUUAAACUCUCUGAGCCUCACUUUUCCUUGAUGUAAAAUUAGAAUACUUACUCUCCCUAUUUUGCAAGGUGGUCAUGAGCAAUAUAUAUAUAUAUAUAUAUAUAUAUGUAUGUAUAACAAAUUAAAAAUAAAAGCAGUUUUUGUAAGUCUUAGAAUCCUAUAUGAAUGUAAUUAUGGUCACAACUAGAAAUAGCUAAAAUUAAAGUUUCUUCAUGUUUUGCAAAUACUCCAAGUCAGAUGGAAGGAUGUUAUUAUGUUUCGUAAUGUGGUCCCAGAGACUCAGGAAGAUGGAUUUAAGUCUGCUUCUGACACCUCCAGUGUAAUUAUCUCUAGGCAAAUCACUUAAAUUUUCAGUGCUAUAGAUGAGUGGUUUUCAAACUUUUGUGCUCAGUAUAUCUUUAUACUAUUGCAAAUUAUUGCGAAUCUGUUUAAAGAGAUUUUGUUCAUAUGGGUUAUAUUUAUAGGUAUUUGCCGUUAUUAGAAAUAAAAACUAAUUUGCAUUUGUAGAUCUUCUGAAAGGAUUUCAUAGACUCCCAGUAUUUUCUAAACCACUGUCAAGAUAAUAGCUUGCAAAGCAGAUGCUUAUCUAGAAUGAUAAAGGAAUUUUCCAUCACCCAGGAGUUCCUUAUAUCAGUUUCCCUAUUACUAACUUUUUUCUCUUCUCAAAAAAAAAAAAUCAGUGUCAAGUUGGAAGUUCUGGAGAUCAUUUUGAAUUAGUAUACUAGAAAUAACAAAAUAAUGUAAGUAUAAUUCCCCUUUCCCAAAAUGUAGUUUAGAAUCACAAGAUGUGAAAGCUGGAAAGGACUUCAGGGGCCAUUUAAUCCAAUCUCUAACUAAACAACAGUUCUUUCUACAAUACAGAUACAAUACAAUACAAUACCAACUGCAUCCUGAAAAUCCUCUAAUGAUAGGAACACCAUUUCUUUUCAUAGCAGCCCAUUUCCUUUUGGACAGUAAUCAUUAUUAGAGGGUUUUCUUCAAUUUCUACCAAGUAUUAUUUUUGCCUAAAUCAAAGAAAAAUAAAACGUAUUCUCCCUUCUACACAAUGGCCCUGAAUAUCUUUUAAUAUGGACAAAAUAUUAUUGUAGGAAUCACAAAGUUUAAUGCCUGAUCCUGGGAAAGGUUUUUUUUCUCCUUUUGUUUUAUAAAUACAUCUCUCUGUGCUUCAACUUACUAAUCUGUAAACUGAAAGGGUUGACUUUGACAGUCACUAAGAUCCAUCCCUUCCACCUUUCAAUCUAUGAUGCUUUGAACCUCUUCAGUAGUUUAUUUUCUGCUAGGGCACAGUCUGCAAUCUCCUUAUCUUCUUGGUCAUUUUUCUCUGGAAAGCUCCAUUUUCUUGUUCUCCCUAAAGUUCGGUGCUUGAAUAUAAAUAAAAUCCUCAAGAACUGGUCCACCCAGGGUACAGUACAGUGAGAAUACUAACUCCUUUUAUUUUGAUAAUAUGCCUCUUAAUACCUUAGUAUAGUAUUAACAUUUUUGGUCGUCAUUCCACAUUACCUCAGUUUGAGUUUGCAAUUUGUAAAUUCCCAUAUCUUUUUCAUAUGAACCAUUGUGGCCAUAUUCCCCAUGCUAUAUCUGUGAUUUUUUGGAGCCAAAGGCAGAACUUUAUAUUUAUUUCUGUAAUAUUUUAUCUUACAAGUUUUG